GGUGAAGCUGUGUCUCUAGAGAUGGGGGGUGAAGCUGUGUCUCUAGAGAUGGGGGGUGAAGCUGUGUCUCUAGAGAUGGGGGGUGAAGCUAUGUCUCUAGAGAGUACACUAGUAAAAAGCCUUCCUGCCCAUCUCUCUCUCUGACUGGCUGUAACAUGUCAAUCAUUUCAUCUAGAAGCUCUCUGCAAUAAAAACCCUCUCCCUCACGUUAGGACCAAAAUAAAGAGAUGCACACACACCCAUCAAAGAACCCAGCCAGCCAUUAACAAACCAGCCUAGUCAUUUAGCAUCUUUCAAUUCCUAUUAAGAUGUUGCAGUUGCACGGCCUGCCAUUCAGAGAAUUCAGGGAGAUUCUCACAUAUGCAGUCCAAUAUGGACUACAGUGCCCAUAAUGCUACACCCACUAGUGUAGCAUUUAACCUCUGACCCCUAGUUCAGGUACCCAUGACGACACCAUAGCCAUCCAGCCUCUCUCAUACACCCAUUUGAACCUCAGCAGCCAGUUAGUUAGUUUAACCUCUGCAACCGCUAUCUAUCUUCUAUCAAUGGCAUGGCCUUAUAGACUGAGUGUACAAAACAUGAAAUAACAUUACUUAGACUGACCAGGUAUGGCAGUAGGUGCAAGACGCACUGGUUUGUUUGAAGAAUUGGAACGCUGCCAGGGUUUUUCAUGCUCAACAGUUUCCUGUGUGUAUCAAGAAUGGUCCAGCACCCAAACGACAUCCAGCCAAAUUGACACAAUUGUAGGAAGCAUUGGAGUCAAUAUGGGCCAGCAUCCCUGUGGAACGUUUUUGACACCUUGUAGAGUCCAUGGGGGUGCAACUAAGUGUGUAUAUAUAUAUAUAUAGAAGGUGUUCGUAAUGUUUUGUACACUCAGUAUAUGUGCAACUGCCUAUUUCUUCCCCCAGCACAGUUUCCUUCCACACUCUAGUUCCCCCACACACAGUCACGCUGUAUAUUGUUUAGAGACAUAUUAAGUAACAGUGUUCAUGCUCCAGUGGAAAUUGUUGCGUGUUGAGAUUAGUGUGACGUGAACCCAGAGAUUCAACUGUUUAAACACACACACACAGGAAUCCACAUCCGCCCGAUCCUCGAUAUCAGCUUAGCUCAGCAUCACAAUCAAAGCAGUGUGUCAAGUUAGUUGGAGGUGUGAGAGGCCUAGUGGACAGGGUCAGAGGCCUAGUGGACAGGACAGGGUCAGAGGCCUAGUGGACAGGACAGGGUCAGAGGCCUAGUGGACAGGGUCAGAGGCCUAGUGGACAGGACAGGGUCAGAGGCCUAGUGGACAGGGUCAGAGGCCUAGUGGACUGGACAGGGUCAGAGGCCUAGUGGACAGGGUCAGAGGCCUAGUGGACAGGACUGGGUCAGAGGCCUAGUGGACAGGACAGGGUCAGAGGCCUAGUGGACAGGACAGGGUCAGAGGCCUAGUGGACAGGGUCAGAGGCCUAGUGGACAGGACAGGGUCAGAGGCCUAGUGGACAGGGUCAGAGGCCUAGUGGACAGGACAGGGUCAGGGGCCUAGUGGACAGGACAGGGUCAGAGGUCUAGUGGACAGGACAGGGUCAGAGGCCUAGUGGACAGGGUCAGAGGCCUAGUGGACAGGGCGGGGUCAGAGGCCUAGUGGACAGGACAGGGUCAGAGGCCUAGUGGACAGGACAGGGUCAGAGGCCUAGUGGACAGGACAGGGUCAGAGGCCUAGUGGACAGGACAGGGACAGGGGCCUAGUGGACAGGACAGGGUCAGAGGCCUAGUGAACAGGACAGGGUCAGAGGCCUAGUGGACAGGACAGGGGCCUAGUGGACAGGGUCAGGGGCCUAGUGGACAGGACAGGGUCAGAGGCCUAGUGGACAGGGCGGGGUCAGAGGCCUAGUGGACAGGACAGGGUCAGAGGCCUAGUGGACAGGGUCAGAGGCCUAGUGGACAGGGUCAGAGGCCUAGUGGACAGGACAGGUAAAUUGUAGAGGACAGGCGUCAAAGUAAGGGUCAUGCAGUAAGGAGAUUUAGUAUAAUGUAUAUUAAGGUAAGGUUGUAUUAAAGUUGUACUACGGUUGUGGGAGGAUAAAAUACAGAUGCAGGGGAGAGCAGAGUUUGUGAAAACUACACAUUGUUAGUCUGCCGUUAUUUUUUAUUUCUAGUUCAGGAAAUCCCAGGUAGUCACCGUUGUUAUCAGGAUAAUGAUUCCUGUUGCCUUUGGAAUCAUACUGUAUGUGCAAUAGUUGUCUUUGUUGAUCAUUUUUCUCUCCAAAGUGUGUGUAGCAUUGUCCGUCUGAUGUUUGUUAGCCAUGUACCGUAUGUCUUUGUUCGUACCCCUUUAAUUUGGUCCUAAAAUAUCUUCAAUCUCAUUAGACUCACGCUAGACUGAUUCAGGAAGGAUUAGUGCAGAGUAGGUGAAUGAAAAUGGAGAUGGACAGAGCGUGUUGUCUGUGUGUGUAGCUGAAACCAGUCAGGAUAUGCAGGCCUGCCGCUAUGUAGAAGUUUGUUUUUGACCUCACUGAAUGGAAUUGUUCGUCAGUCAACGCUCCAGCUAGCAGUUCAUUUGUAGUCAGCCUCUCUAUUUCAACACUGUAAAUUCUACAUUCUGCAGUCCAGGAAAACUAUGUCAGUCCCAAAAAAGUUGUAUAAAAUAAAAAUAUGAAAAGGAGAAAAAAAGGUGGAAGUCAGAAAGAAAGACAGAGACAGGCUCUUGGCUAUGGAGAGGUAUACUGUACUUGGGGUUGCAAAGCUACUGGAAAUUUACCAAAGUUACCGGAAUCUUCAGAAAUGUUGGUAAUUAACAGAAAAUGUAUGUCAAUCUAUCAUAACUUUGGUAAUUUAUAUUGAAUAACUUUUUAAAAAAGGUAUUCAUAUAUAGUAUUAUUUUUUAUAUAUAUAUAUAUAUAUCUGUAUCCAUAUUAUCCAUGAGUUUCUAGUAGAUAGACCGUAUGGUUCAAGGAAAAAAGUUCCUAAUUAAUGAAAAGAGUGUCUAAUCAACAAUGGCAUUAUUUUCAAUUGACUCUGCAACUAGUGACUUUCUUCACAACUGCCCCCAGUUUGACACCAAAACAUUGACAACAAAUAUAUAUUGACAUAGUCUACUAAAUGAAACUGUGUAAAAAACAAAAUGAUGGAUAUUUCAUAUUUUCAUACUGAAACGCCAAUGUUAUUCUCUAAAUUGAUGGUUUAUAUUUAAGAUGAUGUUUUACAGCUUUUUUGUAAUUAUAAUUUUUUAAAAUAUUAUUAUUUAAUAUAUUUCACAUGUGACAAGGCCAGCGAGAGGGCCAGAGAUAAUAACAGACACCUGUGAUAUCUGAAAUACCCCAAAGGGCCACUAGAUGUCUGGUGAUAAAUGACAUAAAAUCCUUGAAAGAUACCAAAAUUCUGGUAGGUUACUGGCAAAAUGUGAAUGUUUCCGGUAAUAUACCCUCCAUUUGCAACCUUAACUGUACUUGCUUGGCAAGACCUUCUUGGGAUGCUUGUGGUGUAGUGUGUGGUGAGAGGUGGUAUGAUGGUAGUACUAUGAUGUCAGUAGUAGAGAUGUGUAGUGAGACAUGGUAUGAUGGUAGUACUAUGAUGUCAGUAGUAGAGAUGUGUAGUGAGACAUGGUAUGAUGGUAGUACUAUGAUAGGUAGUAGUAGAGAUGUGUAGUGAGACAUGGUAUGAUGGUAGUACUAUGAUGUCAGUAGUAGAGAUGUGUAGUGAGAGGUGGUAUGAUGGUAGUACUAUGAUAGGUAGUAGAGAUGUGUAGUGAGACAUGGUAUGAUGGUAGUACUAUGAUAGGUAGUAGAGAUGUGUAGUGAGACAUGGUAUGAUGGUAGUACUAUGAUAGGUAGUAGAGAUGUGUAGUGAGACAUGGUAUGAUGGUAGUACUAUGAUAGGUAGUAGAGAUGUGUAGUGAGACGUGGUAUGAUGGUAGUACUAUGAUAGGUCAGGUGGAUUUAUGCUGUUUAUAAAGCCUCUGCUGAAAUAAGGAACUUGACUGUUUCAGAAGGAAGAUAGGAUGUUAUGUUCUGGUGCUCUGGCCUGGCCUCAGCCCAGUUUAAACUGUCUGGUGUGUUGAUAGACAUGUUUGACAAAAAGCAUAGUUACAUAGAUAUAUGUGUGUGUGUAUACUUAUCUUGUUUAAACUUGAGAUGAGGUUGUCCCCACCAGCCUUUUGUAAUUAUGUUGUUUUGUUUCUGUGUGUGUGUGUGUGUGUGUGUGUGUGUGUGUGUGUGUGUGUGUGUGUGUGUGUGUGUGUGUGUGUGUGUGUGUGUGUGUGUGUGUGUGUGUGUGUGUGUGUGUGUGUGUGUGUGUGUGUGUGUGUGUGUGUGUGUGUGUGUGUGUGUGUGUGUGGUGUUCUCUCCUAUGGACUCUGAUCACUAGCCCUAACACUCAUAAGGUCCAGAGAGAAAAGACAGAUAACAGUCAUUAUUACCUUCUGUAUUAGUGGGGACCACUUUUGUAAAACCAACCAAUAAAGAUGCACAUAGUCGACUAACGGCGUAGACUUGGUACUGUUUCCAGCACUUUCUAAACCCAGAGGAACGGAUCUGGUCUAAACCCUCAUCUCAGACCAAGGCCUUUCCCAGAGGUAUAACAUUCAUUCAAUUCAGACAGAAUGAAAGAGAGAGAGAGAGAGAGAGAGAGAGAGAAAGAAGGAGAGGAUAAGAGAUGGGAGAGACUGUUCAGAUUCAUUUCUUUGCACACGGCCUGGUUGAAAAACCGUAGUGUUUCCACUCUUUCAUUUCGCCUACCGUCCGACACGUUCUUGGGUCCAACGUGUUGAGACGCGAGGCGGUUUCUUGGUCCCGUGUUUCUAAACAGAAGGGCCUUUUUCAUGGACACACACCCACUUUUCUGUGUUCAAUUUGGUCCUAUAGUAUAAAAGACCUUUGGUUUCUUUAUUAAUUUACCUUUUUCAGAAUAGAUGGGUUAGCUGACAACGUCAUGAAAACUACGGGCAUGCUUCAAAGGGGCACAAGUCCAUGUGUUGUGGUUCUGGGUGGGCAGAUAGCACCAAGACAAGAAGCUGCCAUGUGGGGAAUCGUAGGUGGCUCGUUUCAGCUAGUGUCAUCUUGUUCUUGAUACCAUGUCUUGUUUUGACUGAUGUCACAUCAAUGCUAAUAUGGCAAAAAUUCACUAGCUAGCUAACCAACAACUGUAACGAUGUAUUUGAGAGACAACAAGUGCUCAUUGUGCAAAUAUAUUUGAGUUUUCAAAAAACAAUAGGGACGAAAUAUAGUUUACAUGUUAUCAACCAUGUAAGCCAACCCCGUUUUGCCCCAUAGUUGCGCACACGUGCGUUUUGUUGCUAAACAACCAACCCGUCUAUAGGACCUUUUCCGGUUUCCACUACUUACCACAGCCACAAAGUAAGAAUUGGCUAUAUGGUUAAAAUGCAUGUAAACCCAAAUCAGCUUUUUGUUCUUACUUUAAGGUUAGGCAUAAGGUUAGCAGUGUGAUUAGGGUUAGGUUUAAAAUCCCAUUUUAAGAAGAGAAUUUGUUGAAAUAGGUGGGGUUUAUGACUUUGUGACUGUGGUACCAAGUGACAACCACCUUUUCCUUGUGUUGGUCUCCUUUGUAGCACUCGAGACGUGAUUGGACGUCUGUUUAGGGAAUGUGUCAUGUGACUUUCUGACAAGCCUCCUCAUUGGAGGAGCACACCCAGCUGACCUUGUCUGUUUUUAUUGGCUUAUUUACUUACUUCUUGCACAAAUAACUAAUAAUAUGAAUGUUGGUAUGAGCUUCAGCGUUUCAAAAUGAAAAGUAAUGUGUUGUUGUUUUUAUUGUUUAUCGCCAUGUUGUUGUUUUACUUUUGUUUCUUUCUUGGCAAAAAGAUUUUGGCACCUUUUUGGUUUUAAAAUGAACAGAAUUCAAUCAGGAUUCCUUUGUUAAAACUUGACUGUUGUUUGACGUCUUGUCAAUAAAUGUCCGUACCGCUGGAUAACCAACUCAGGCAGAGAAAACGUAAACACGUCCACAACCCCAAUGGUUAAGUUUCACCUCGAUUUAAUGUGGAUGGGCUGUUCGAUAUGGAUUAUUACUAUUUUGAAUGAUUAUAUUUAUAUAAUAAAUAUAUAAAUAUAAUGUAUUGUAUGGAUUAUUGUUCUGAUAUUUUUACAUGCUGGAAAUGGCUGCAUGCUCUCAAUGUGGAGGUUCAGUAAGGAUAAACGGGUUGUCCUGGUCCUGCAGUGAAGUAGCAUCAUCUAUCUUUAUCCCACUCUAUCUCCAAUGACCAGUUGACAGACAAACAUACAGUCACUCACUCUGACCUCUCACCUUUGACCCCUACACACUGAAUGCCAGGGAUGGGUCUUCUGUCAGCUGGGGUUCAUUAAAUGUUGUCUGUCUACUGGUCACAACACACAGCCUAGUGGUUAAAGACACGCCUGGGAGUGGGAUUCUGGUCAAACUGGACAUGUGGGGACAUCCGCAUUGCUGACUGCCAGUCACUUGGAGAAAGAACUGAGACACAACACAAGAACUGUUAAGGUAGGCAAGGAAAGACAUGAUAGCCAUAGCAGGCCAGAACCAUCCAACAACCAUCUCCUGUUGUAAAGAUGCUGUAUUAAAACCACAUCAACCCGUGUCUGUCAC
rnacentral:lncRNA from 1 species